rnacentral:rRNA from 1 species
GCAGUCGCCGGCGGUGUGCCUAUACAUGCACCCCGAACGAGUUGGCCCAAUUGAUUGAUGUCGCUUGCACCUGAUUGAUUUUGGUCGCCAACGAGUGGCGGACGGGUGAGUAACACGUAGGUAACCUGCCCAGAAGCGGGGGACAACAUUUGGAAACAGAUGCUAAUACCGCAUAACAACGUUGUUCGCAUGAACAACGCUUAAAAGAUGGCUUCUCGCUAUCACUUCUGGAUGGACCUGCGGUGCAUUAACUUGUUGGUGGGGUAAUGGCCUACCAAGGCGAUGAUGCAUAACCGAAUUGAGAAACUGAUCGGCCACAAUGGGACUGAAACACGGCCCAUACUCCUACGGGAGGCAGCAGUAGGGAAUCCUCCACAAUGGGCGCAAGCCUGAUGGAGCAACACCGCGUGAGUGAAAAGGUUUCCGCUCAAACUCUGCUGCUAACCAAAAACCCCCCGAAACCCCCCCCCC